GCAGAAGGAAAUGACGAAGAAGUAUGACUCGAAGGAGGCGGAGGCAACCAACCUGCAGAAGGAAAACGGCGAGUUGAAGAAGGACCUUCAGGAAAAGGAAAAAGAAAUCAAAUUAAAGCUGGAUAAACUCGAGAAGUUGAAGGAGAUGCAGAAAAAAGUAUGACUCGAAGGAGGCGGAGGCAGCCAACCUGCAGAAGGAAAUCGGAAAGAUCAAGAAGGAUCUUCAGGAAAAGGAGAAA